AGUGAACGCUGGCGGUAGGCCUAACACAUGCAAGUCGAACGGCAGCACAGUAAGAGCUUGCUCUUACGGGUGGCGAGUGGCGGACGGGUGAGGAAUACAUCGGAAUCUACUUUUUCGUGGGGGAUAACGUAGGGAAACUUACGCUAAUACCGCAUACGACCUACGGGUGAAAGCAGGGGAUCUUCGGACCUUGCGCGAUUGAAUGAGCCGAUGUCGGAUUAGCUAGUUGGCGGGGUAAAGGCCCACCAAGGCAACGAUGCGUGGCUGGUCUGAGAGGAUGAUAGGACACAUUGGAAAUGAGGCAAGGACCAGAAGCAAAAGGGAGGCAGCAGUAGGGAAUGGAGCACAAAGGGCACAAGCCUAACAGAGCAUCACGGCGAGAGAGAAGAAGAUCUUGGGAUCGUAAAACUCUGUUAUGGGAGAAGAAAAAAUGAGUAAGAAAAUAUGCACGUCUGGACGGUACAUAAAAAGAAAGAAACGGUUAAAUAAGUG
rnacentral:rRNA from 1 species